UUAUCAUGCUUCCCUCGUCUUUGUCCCCUGCUGGCUGCUUUGCACACUUCCCUUUUCCCUUCCUGCUCAGAGGAGUGCCCUGGUGAUUCUCUUUCUGGUUAUCCUGUCGGGUUUCACAGAGUUCUUGGAUCUGGAGAUGGAUGCUGUGGGCAAAUUUGGAAAUUUUUGGCUUUCUCAAACAUUCUUCCGCCCCAUCCUCCCUCUCCCCUCUGGACAGCGACUGCAGGCUCUCACCCGCUUGGCGCUUUCUGGCAGGCCCCAGGCAUGAAGCCCCAGACCCGCAGCUUUCCCGGCACCCGUGAGCCUGGCCACGGACCCUUGAUGGACAGUCCUCUGUCCCGAGCAUCACCAGAGCAUCACCAGAACCAAAGCCUGGGCCAUGCUAGACUCUUGCUCAGCAUUUGGAGGUAUGUGUAGGGCAGGCGAUCAUGGCUAACACCUGCACAGUCUUCAGGAUGCGUCAGGCACCCCCUAAGUGAUUCCCAUCACAAGGGUCAGGUAGGCAAGACCCCAGGCCGCUGGUCAGAGCCGCAGGCUCGCGAGGCCCUCCCUGCCUGGGGGAGCACGUGGUGGAAUCCAUGCAUUUCCUAAGCAGAGCUGAAGCCCACAGAACUCAGCAGCUGGUGUGGCAUCUGGGGUCCCAUGGCUGGGCGUGGGCUGGGAUGUUUGCCAGCUGCCACCCGGCCAGCUCCCUGUCAACCCCUCCAGGCCCAGGAGGUCCCUGGGACGGAGGGACCCAACCCAGCAAGGGGGCGUACCCUAGCCAAGGGUGGACAGGCAGGAUCCCAGGAGUCAGAUCCGACUCAUCAUCCAGGCCUGGGUCAUACUUGCUCCUCCAUGAAGCCUCCUGAUGACAGGCAUUUGUGGGGCCCCACCUUUCUGCAUGAGCCUGUGUCCCCUUGCUGGUGCCUCGAAGGCAGUGGUCCUCGGGGAUGCACAGUGAACACCUGAGCACCCUAUUGCCAUGUGCAUAUUGACCUCCAUCUGCACAGUGGCCCCCAAGGGCAGGAUGCAUCUUCCCCACAUUCUCAUCCACAUGCCAUUUUCCAUGGGCCAAGGCGGGGGCUGGAUCAAGGCAGACAGCUGCCAUGUACCCAGGGUCCCCCCCACCCAGGCCGCCUCGGCUCCGGCUGUGGAAAACAGCGCUCCUUCCGCCCACCUCUCCUCGUUUCCCUUUCCCGUCUUCUGGGAUACCCUCCACAAAGGACCAGUCCAGCAUCCGGCCUUCAAGUGCAAAGGACCCUCCACUGACAAGCAUUCCAAACAGUCCUUUGGCAGACAGAUGCCACAGAGGUGUGCGCAAGAAAUUCGAGAUAUCCUCUGCACGUCUCCCAGUUCUACCCUCGCAUCUGCGGCGGAUCGUGCCUCCUCCUUGGGCCCACUCCAGCCUGUUCUGAGCGGACCCAUCCCUCAGCCUGUGCAUCUGGGGCCACAAGCAUUGGCACCUGCCCGAUCCUCUCUGGGUGGACCUCUGGAGUGUGGACCCCUGGUCCAGGUUCCUUGGAUGCACCUAAGCUCAUCGUGAGCAGGACGUCCUUCCCGUGCAGCUGCCCACUUGCCAGCGCAGAGCUGUACACCCAGCAGGUGCUCGACACUUAGAGAUGUUCAGUGGUUAAUGUCAGGGGUGUGAUGCCCUGCACCUGGGGUCACUCGGCUGGACACUGGGGGUACAGGGUUAUUCCACAACACAGAUGCCGAGGCUCCGGCACCCCGUGCUGCUCAUGCAUGAUCUCACUUGACCCCACAACCCAGCGAAGCACCAACUAUCUCUACUACAGAUGGGAAAACCGGGAACUCGGUCUUUCACUUAAUGACCUGUUUCCAUGCAACAGGGGCUAAGAAACUUCCCUAAGGCCUCAGAGUUGAUGAGGUGGCAUGUCCAGUACACACGUCACCGGCGCUAUAGCUGGCAGCCCCGACAGUGCCCCUUCCUGGGCUUCUCACGUGUGUGUAAUCCCGUCCUGGGAUGGGAGCUGGACACAGUGAUUUGCUUCUAAGCGAGAGAACAUGGCAAAGGAGAUGGGUCAUCACUUCCAUGGUGAGGGUAUUAGUUGCCACCUGGCAGAAGCCCACACAGCAAGGCCCUGAGAGUGGCCUCCCACCAACAGCCAGUGAAGACCUAAGGCCCUCAGUCCAACAGCACUCAGGGAACUGGAUCCGGCCAACAGCUGGGUGAGAAAGCUUGAAAGCAGAUCCUUCCCCAGUUGAGCCUCCUGAUGAGACUGUAGCCAUGGCUGAGAGCGUGAGAGAUCCCGAAGUGAGAACCCAGGCUGCAAGAUCACUGCAGGUCGGCUGGGGACACCCUCUGGGCCUGCUGGUCAUGCAGCUGCUCCGUGGAACGCGGCUGGUGGCACGCAAGAGGGAACCACUACUUGAGAGUGGAAGAGCCACGCGUCACUUUUGAUCAGAUCGUCAGCCAGAACGAGCCUCAGGCCCCAGGCGGCCCGCGGCACCGGGAGUGAUUCCUCUGUGCCCCUGGGCUGCGGGCAGGCCCGCCUCAGGGCACUGGCUGGGCGGGUGAGAGGGAGCCCCACACGCUCUCCAGGCCUGGAUGCCCAAGGAUUGUGGGGACUCCCCAGGAAGCCUUCUGGGCUGGCGCCUGCCCACAUCCUAACAGCCCCCCAGGAACAACCCUGUCGGCGUGCAGGCCCGCGGUCACCUUCCGUCCUCCUCCUGUGACCACCGCCGGCAUGUGAGUUUCCGCGGUCCCACGGCUGUGCUCACACAUCAGCCGAACACAGGGGGAAGGCCCUGGUCACAUGUAAGAAGACAGCCAGUCACAUUCCUUUAUGUUGGAAACAGUCAACUUGAUUUAUUGAGAAACGAUUACAAUUAUUCAUCUGUUACACAGGCUUAAAAUAUUUUAAAACACCCUUUCCUGGGCAUCACAGUUACGAACAUGUCUGUGGGAUCUUCAGGAAAUGUACAGGGUGUCAUUUUUGACAUUCUGUUUUAGAGGGUCUCGUGUCCUAGAAUCUCUACCAUAGGUUUUCUGUUUACCAUUUUCUUUUUCUUUUCUUCAACACGUGUCCAAUGAUACAGGUGAAAAAAAAUAAAAUUACGCCAAAAGAAAUUUCUGCAAA